UUUUAUUUUACGUAAGGAGGCAAUUGCCUUAUCAAUCUUAUUAAUGUCGGACCUCAGACAGACUAAGCUUAAAUGGGAGGUGUAUCCCCGACGUUGAUUUACAAGGAGCUGCAGUCUUCAUCAGAUAGAUGGAUAACCCAUUUCCGAAACUCUCCUGACAAAUUAAUCCUAAGCAAACAUGUAAACUAGACUCAAAACGACAGACUCGAGUACUAGAAAAAAACAAA
rnacentral:lncRNA from 1 species